CUAACCCUGGAGUUUACAAGGACAGCAUUUACUUAACUGAAAACAGACAAAUUAGAUGUGGCCUGAACUGCAGAAUCGAGGGAGUUGCAUGACUAAUCAAGUGCAAUAUCACAGCUGCAC